rnacentral:rRNA from 1 species
GGGUUGUGAGGUUAAGCGACUAAGCGUACACGGUGGAUGCCCUGGCAGUCAGAGGCGAUGAAGGACGUGCUAAUCUGCGAAAAGCGACGGCGAGGUGAUAUGAACCUUUGACCCGUCGAUGUCCGAAUGGGGAAACCCAGUGUGUUUCGACACACUAUCGUUAACUGAAUACAUAGGUUAACGAGGCGAACCGGGGGAACUGAAACAUCUAAGUACCCCGAGGAAAA